rnacentral:rRNA from 1 species
UACGAAGGUUGCAAGCGUUACUCGGAAUUACUAGGCGUAAAGGGCAGGUAGGCGGCUUGAUAAGUCUGUUGUGAAAGCUCCCGGCUUAACUGGGAGAGGUCAACGGAAACUGUCGAGCUUGAGUGUAGGAGAGGGUACUGGAAUUCCCGGUGUAGCGGUGAAAUGCGCAGAGAUCGGGAGGAACACCAACGGCGAAAGCAGGUACCUGGACUAUUACUGACGCUCAGCUGCGAAAGCUAGGGGAGCAAACAGG